GAGCUUAAUUUUUAUUUUUUAUAAUUUAAAAAGAUUAAUAUUGAUUUAUAGAAAAAUUAAAAAUUUUACUGGGGUGGUAUUAAAAUUUAAUUAACUUUUAUAAUAAUAAACAUUAAUAUAUGAAUAAAUGAUCCAAUUUUAUUGAUUAAAAAUUUAAGUUACCUUAGGGAUAACAGCGUAAUUUUUUUUUAGAGUUCAUAUCGACAAAAAAGAUUGC
rnacentral:rRNA from 1 species